rnacentral:rRNA from 1 species
UACGGAGGGUGCAAGCGUUAUCCGGAUUCACUGGGUUUAAAGGGUGCGUAGGUGGGCUAGUAAGUCCGUGGUGAAAUCCCCGAGCGUAACUUGGGAACUGCCAUUGAUACUAUUAGUCUUGAGUAUCGUGGAGGUAAGCGGAAUAUGUCAUGUAGCGGUGAAAUGCUUAGAUAUGACAUAGAACACCAAUUGCGAAGGCAGCUUGCUACACGGUCAUUGACACUGAGGCACGAAAGCGUGGGGAGCAAACAGG